GGAUUGUGGCUCAGCGGUAGAGCGGUCGCCUCACAUGGGCCAGACCCGGGGUUCGAUCCUCAGCACCA
rnacentral:tRNA from 1 species